UAAUUGAAGAGUUUGAUCAUGGCUCAGAUUGAACGCUGGCGGCAGGCCUAACACAUGCAAGUCGGGCGGUAACAGGGAGAAGCUUGCUUCUCUGCUGACGAGCGGCGGACGGGUGAGUAAUGUAUGGGGAUCUGCCUGAUGGAGGGGGAUAACUACUGGAAACGGUAGCUAAUACCGCAUAAUGUCUCCGGACCAAAGCGGGGGACCUUCGGGCCUCGCACCAUCAGAUGAACCCAUAUGGGAUUAGCUUGUAGGUGAGGUAACGGCUCACCUAGGCGACGAUCCCUAGCUGGUCUGAGAGGAUGAUCAGCCACACUGGGACUGAGACACGGCCCAGACUCCUACGGGAGGCAGCAGUGGGGAAUAUUGCACAAUGGGCGCAAGCCUGAUGCAGCCAUGCCGCGUGUAUGAAGAAGGCCUUCGGGUUGUAAAGUACUUUCAGUCGGGAGGAAGGUGUUAAGGUUAAUAACCUUAACAAUUGACGUUACCGACAGAAGAAGCACCGGCUAACUCCGUGCCAGCAGCCGCGGUAAUACGGAGGGUGCAAGCGUU
rnacentral:rRNA from 1 species